rnacentral:rRNA from 1 species
UACGUAGGGCGCGAGCGUUGUCCGGAAUUAUUGGGCGUAAAGGGCGCGUAGGCGAUUUGGCAAGUCUUGUGUGAAAGCCCACAGCCUAACUGUGGAAGUGCACAAGAUACUGCUGAAUUUGAGUUCAGGAGAGGAAGGCAGAAUUCCCGGUGGAGCGGUGAAAUGCGUAGAGAUCGGGAGGAAUACCAGUGGCGAAGGCGGCCUGCUGGGCCACGACCGACACUGAGGUGCGAAAGCGUGGGGAGCGAACCGG